rnacentral:rRNA from 1 species
UACGGGGGGGGCAAGCGUUGUUCGGAAUUAUUGGGCGUAAAGGGCAGGUAGGUGGUCUCAUUUGUCUGGGGUGAAAGCCUCGAGCUUAACUCGAGAAGUGCCCCGGAAACGGUGAGACUUGAGUCUUGGAGAGGGUCGUGGAAUUCCUGGUGUAGCAGUGAAAUGCGUAGAUAUCAGGAGGAAUACCGAUGGCGAAGGCAGGUCUCUGGGCUGACACUGACGCUCAUGCACGAAAGCGUGGGGAGCAAACAGG